GACGAACGCUGGCGGCGUGCUUAACACAUGCAAGUCGAACGAUAAGCCUCGACAUGUUUUCUUCGGAAAGAUUGCUGAGAGGAUUAGUGGCGAACGGUAGAGUAACCCGUGAGCAACCUGCCCUAGACAAGGGGAUAGCUUCGGGAAACCGUGAUUAAUACCCUCUGAGACUCCACUUACGAGUGUCAGAGAAGGUAAAGCUAGUGCGGUCUAAGAUGGGGUCGCGUCUGAUUAUCUAGUGGGUGAGAUCAAAGCCCGCCAAGGCGAGGAUGCGUAACCGGGAUGGGAGAGUGAACCGUCACAUUGGAGCUGAGGCACGGUCCCCACUCGUACGGAAGGGAGGAGUGGGGAAUAUUGCAGGAUGGAGGCAAACCUGAUGCAGCGACGCCGCGUAAGCGAUGCAGGGAGUCGUAUCGUGAAGCUCUGUGCUAGGAGGAGAUAAUGACGGUAACCAAGGAAGAAGCACCGGCUAAAUACGUG
rnacentral:rRNA from 1 species